UACGUAGGAUGCAAGCGUUGUCCGGAAUUAUUGGGCGUAAAGAGCGCGCAGGCGGUCUAUCAAGUCAAGAUGUGAAAUAUCCCGGCUUAACCGGGAGGGGUCAUUUGAAACUGGUAGACUAGAGUACAGCAGAGGAUAGCGGAAUUCCCGGUGUAGUGGUGAAAUGCGUAGAUAUCGGGAGGAACACCAGUGGCGAAGGCGGCUAUCUGGGCUGGAAACUGACGCUGAGGC
rnacentral:rRNA from 1 species